rnacentral:rRNA from 1 species
UAAGGAAUAUUGGUCAAUGGGCGCAAGCCUGAACCAGCCAUGCCGCGUGCAGGAAGACGGCCCUAUGGGUUGUAAACUGCUUUUGUCAGGGAAUAAACCUGCCUACGAGUAGGCAGCUGAAGGUACCUGAAGAAUAAGCAUCGGCUAACUCCGUGCCAGCAGCCGCGGUAAUACGGAGGAUGCAAGCGUUAUCCGGAUUCAUUGGGUUUAAAGGGUGCGCAGGCGGAUUAUUAAGUCAGGGGUGAAAUCCCACGGCUCAACCGUGGAACUGCCUUUGAUACUGAUAGUCUAGAGUAUAGUUGAAGUUGGCGGAAUGUGUCAUGUAGCGGUGAAAUGCUUAGAUAUGACACAGAACACCGAUCGCGAAGGCAGCUAGCUAAGCUAUAACUGACGCUCAUGCACGAAAGCGUGGGGAUCAAACAGG